UUCAUAUAUGAUAUAGUAAACGUAUAUCGCGUGUAGUAUAGAUAACAGAGCUACUGCCAAGCCAGUUCGUUCACGUGGUUCGAUCACAGCUGACUCAAUGUUACGCAAAGUGUUUGUUGCUCCUGCUACUACUCUACUACAACUUAUAUUUUUCAUAAGUUUUUUCCUCGAAGCGAUAACUAUUCUUCUUAAAAAUUACCAGAGUCUAGAAAACAGCUGUUUCCCUAGCUACCACAUGCGUUCACACCUGCACUUGUAAGCUUCAAUAUAUGUAGGUGACUUUUUUUCAGCCAAGGAAAGUGCAGCGGUAUAUCACUAAUGCAAGUCGCGGGCUUCCUGACCUUUAAAUUCCACCUGCAAACUCUCCACGGACACGAAGGCCCAACUAUAUAUAUACUACCUUUAUAUGUAUAGUACACGGUACUAUUACUUGGUUUAAUUAAAUUUUCUUUUCCUCAUUCGAUGCAAAUCAUUUUAUUUUUGAUAUAUCAAUAAAAUCGAAGAAAUAAAUAUCCAUCAAAACGUUGAACAUCAAAAUGAUUGAACAUGCAAAUCAAGUCUGAAUUCGUUGAUGCAAAUAUAGGCAAAUAUUAACAUGGAUGUUAUUAAAAAUUUUCGUUAUUCCAAUGAUUUCUUUUUUUCCAGUGCUUAAAAAAAAAUUUAAUGACGUGCGACGCGUGUAUACAAAGCUUUUUUUAACGAGGGAAGGAAUUUCGAAUUUUUGAAUUUUCUGCCAUGAUACGAAAUAAAAAAGAAGACUCAUAAAAAAUUAAGACAAAAUGACAAUAUUUCGCUGCUACUUGGUGCAAUAUCUUUGUUCGUUGUCUCGUUAUCUUUUGUAUGAAUUAUAAUAUGUACAUACGGUAUAAAGCCUUGCAGACGUGGGUAACGACGCAAAGUUUACCGUAUGCGAUACACAUUUACGCGCAGAAUCUUCUCUUAUUAUUAUUAUUAUUUUUUAAAGUAUACAGAAUAUUUACUUUCAUCAGCGAGACUGCAGCAGUGCACCCGAGCUUUCUGCUUUAUGUUGUCGUUGCAAAAGAUGCUUUCAGUUCGUAAGCUUUCGUUAAGAGGACGCAACAACGAAUAAUACGUGACGUGCAAUUGUAGAAAGAUAUGUUUUCAUUGUUAUCAUAAUGAUAGUUUCCGGUUGUUAUAAUUAUUUUGAACUGUUCGGGUUUUAAUGUUAUUCUCACGUCUAAGGAUUUUACUUUUGAGACUUUUCAUGUCGUCGUCGUCUUCGUGAAAUGAGCUAUACAGUUCACGUGAUAAAUACAUGAAUUCAAUGAGCGGAUCGGAUUCCUGAACUCAAGAUACGUCGAAAUACGCAAAAAAAAAAAAAAAAAACCACCUCGAUUUUCGCCCCCAUAAUCGAAA